GGGGGAGGGGCUGGGAGGAGCCUUGGCGACACCCCCCCUUCCCCCCCAACCCUUCUAAAAUUUCUUUGUAUAUAUUUUAUAUACAUAAGGUAAAAAAUUAUUUUGCUUAAAGUUGUUGGCCCCCCAAAAUAAUUUAUAUUGUUUUAUCAAGAUUUAGAUAAAUUGAAAUAUUAGAAUUAUUUAUUUUUAUCAUAUGUUCAAUAGAUUUUUAUAGCAUUAGCACCCUCAAAAAAAUUUCUAGCUUAACUACACUCUAUUAUGGCAUUUUUUGAAUAUACAGCAUUGACUCCUCAAAAUACAUAGACAAUAAGUAUAGUUAACUAUACUUCGAAUCAAUUUUAUACAUAAUAUUGGUCCCC
rnacentral:misc_RNA from 1 species